AGUGAACGCUGGCGGUAGGCCUAACACAUGCAAGUCGAACGGCAGCACAGUAAGAGCUUGCUCUUACGGGUGGCGAGUGGCGGACGGGUGAGGAAUACAUCGGAAUCUACUUUUUCGUGGGGGAUAACGUAGGGAAACUUACGCUAAUACCGCAUACGACCUACGGGUGAAAGCAGGGGAUCUUCGGACCUUGCGCGACUGAAUGAGCCGAUGUCGGAUUAGCUAGUUGGCGGGGUAAAGGCCCACCAAGGCGACGAUCCGUAGCUGGUCUGAGAGGAUGAUCAGCCACACUGGAACUGAGACACGGUCCAGACUCCUACGGGAGGCAGCAGUAGGGAAUAUUGGACAAUGGGCGCAAGCCUGAUCCAGCCAUACCGCGUGGGUGAAGAAGGCCUUCGGGUUGUAAAGCCCUUUUGUUGGGAAAGAAAAGCAGCAGGUUAAUACCCCGCUGUUCUGACGGUACCCAAAGAAUAAGCACCGGCUAACUUCGUG
rnacentral:rRNA from 1 species